rnacentral:lncRNA from 1 species
CAAGUAGUGGGUAUGUGCCUUGCACACGCCACUUAACCUCUCCCAGCCUUGGAGGUCUCUUCCGCCUAAAGUAGGUUAGUAACGGAAAUCUUUUCUUGGCACUAAAAGAAAGACACAAUGGCUGGGCACGGUGGCUCAUGCCUGUAAUCCCAGCACUUUGGGAGGCCAAGGCAGGUGGAUCACGAAGUCAGGAGUUCAAGACCAGCGAGACUCUGUCUCAAAGAAAAAAAAAAAAGGAAAAUACUAUUUAUUACCAAGACUAUGAGGACAACACCUUGUGGCCAGGAAAGGUGCAAUCCAUCAUUGUUUUCUAGUUGGUUGUUAAGAUUUCUGUGAUGAAUACAACUCAACAUCAGAUCUCUGCCAUAUUGUGUGUCAGGCACACAGGGCAAGAAAUUGAAGCUGCCAGCCAACAGCCAGAGAGAAACCAAGGCCUGCCAACAACUAGCUACCUUAGCAAGAAAAUCCAAGAAAAUCAAUUUGCAUCUAAAAGCGCCUUCACGGAGUUGGCCUGGUUUUGUGGCAGGCAUCCCAGCUUGCUUAGAGAAGGAGAAGUUGAAGUCGGCCUCACAGAGGAUUGUUUGGUCCCAGCUGAAUAACCUGCUGGCAUCCACUGUGAGCAGAGUGGUAAGCAGAUUAUGGGUAAGCAGAUAUUAAUAUUCUGAUUAAACAUUUUCAAACCUCA